rnacentral:lncRNA from 1 species
UCGAAUAUCCUCUGAGAUGUCGCCAUCAGAGUGGUGGUUGGUGUUAUUUCCGGCAUUGCCAACGGAAUUAGCAUGGGAAAAUGGAGAACGAGGUUCAUUGUUUGGCAGCAAGAUUGAUAUGAAGUUGUCGGGGUUCAAAUGCGGUGAUCCGGGAUCAUCCGCGCGAAAGAAAAUAUUUGUGAGGUUCAAGAAAAAGUAAAAAAAAAAAGCAAA